rnacentral:lncRNA from 1 species
UGCAGCAAACUAUUCAUACAGAGGAAGAACAUGCUGCAACACAUCAGGAACGUUCACAAAAUGGCCGUGGAUGUCAAGAAAUUGAUGAAAUGCGACGUAUGUGGCACUUCCCUGCCUACAAUGGAGAAGUAUUCGGUGCACCAGAUCGCUGCGCACAACUUCGAGGCUGAUUACGUGCACCCGGUGUUCCGGAACAAUAAGGAAUUUCAUGAAUGGAAAGCAAAAGAAUAGGGUAGCCAAAACUGCUGGUUCAUUUUGCCCAGGGACCCCAAAAAGCUGGCCAGUGGAGAAACAAGGAUCCACUAUUACUGUAAUAGAUCAGGCGAGGCAAGGAAAAAGGAAGGUCAUAGUGACCGUCGGGAGAAAAGUCAGGGGAGCUGUAGGUCUGAUCUUGUGCUAUGAGAUGAGGAGGUGUAAAAUAAAAACACCGUGUAGAUUUCACAAUGCCUUUAAGAAACCACGCGAAGCUUGGAGAUGAAGCAUUACAUGCACCUUGAACCAAGUGUCUGGACACAGCGAGUGAAAGUUGUUUUGUCAUGAGCGAGGGUGUCGGUGUUACUUGUAACUACCUUUAAAUAAAAGUUUGUUUCAAAACAGUG